UGGGGAAUUUUGGACAAUGGGGGCAACCCGUGAUCCAGCAAUGCCGCGUGUGUGAAGAAGGCCUUCGGGUUGUAAAGCACUUUUGUCCGGAAAGAAAACGCCGUGGUUAAUACCCGUGGCGGAUGACGGUACCGGAAGAAUAAGCACCGGCUAACUACGUGCCAGCAGCCGCGGUAAUACGUAGGGUGCAAGCGUUAAUCGGAAUUACUGGGCGUAAAGCGUGCGCAGGCGGUCCGCUAAGACAGAUGUGAAAUCCCCGGGCUUAACCUGGGAACUGCAUUUGUGACUGGCGGGCUAGAGUAUGGCAGAGGGGGGUAGAAUUCCACGUGUAGCAGUGAAAUGCGUAGAGAUGUGGAGGAAUACCGAUGGCGAAGGCAGCCCCCUGGGCCAAUACUGACGCUCAUGCACGAAAGCGUGGGGGAGCAAACAGGAUU
rnacentral:rRNA from 1 species